rnacentral:tRNA from 1 species
GGUUGUGGCUCAGUGGUAGAGCACUAGCCUUGCAUGUAUGGACCCUGGGUUCAACUCUGAGCACCA